rnacentral:lncRNA from 10 species
UUUCCCGGAAGUGGUUCUUCUCCCUCUCCACCCUUUCGCCCGCCUGGGCGGUCCAGCUGCCCCUAGGGGCCAACUCCAGCGGCUAUUUUGGGGCUGGACAUCCCGCAGCUUUUCAAGGCGUGCCUUUGGUUUUUUUAAGAAGUGCUAUCUAAAGGAAAAGCUGGACUAUGACUCUGGGGAACUUUCAUAUCCUCAGUUGACCUUAGGCUGUGUGACCUUGAGCAGGUAGCAUAACCUCUCUGAGUUUCCCGCGUGCCUUAUGUGCAGAUUGAGAUGCUAAAAUGAGAGAGCUAAAUUGGAAAGCUUUUUCCACAUAGGGGGCCGUGAGCAGGUGGCUGUUUUGUCCUCUGGCACCUUUGGCUCAGACUUAAGCAGCUUCAACGACCGCCAAGAUGCCUGCCAUGCCCACCAAGAUUUAAAGGACUCUGAUAAUUCUUUCUCUCCCCAAACGGUGUUUUCCUUAUCUAAUCCUAAUAACCAAGCCUGGAGGAAUCCCUGACUUCGUGAUUGAAGGCUCUCCAGGUCCCCUAGUUUAAGGGCAGAGAUUUACUUUCUCUGAGGCUACAAAGGAGCGUCUGCGAGAAUGUCUCUACCUUAGACAAAACAGGGAGGAGGGGUGGAGCUCUCCAAAUUGCCUCUGGUUUGGGCUUUUUCUUUCUGUUUUGGUGUAUCGUCUCUGGCCAACAACACCUGUGAGUCCUUGAUGUGACGAUUAGGGAAGAUGUUUUUAAUUCACAUAACUAUUCUUUAGAGAAAAUUGAUCCUGAAACACCUUAUUGCCUUAUCGUAGAAUGACUGCAUUACUCAGAAUUCUUUACCUCUACCGGAAUUUAGUGAAGGGAAGGCACAACGUACAUUAGGAAAAUACAGGACACACUCCAGUCCUUAAACCUUCCACAAUCUUCUAGCUCUUUAAGGUCGAGUGUGAUCCUCCCCAGAACUGCAUCUUCCAGGAAGCUCAUGAGAAAGGAAGGAUCCCAGGUCCCAUCUCUGAUCUGAGUCGGCAUCUGCGUUUUAACAGAAUCCUGAAGCAGUGGUCUAACUCCUUUGGUGGUGUUAUUGUUUGCAUGUAUACCUCCAAAAUUCACAUAUUGAAAUACUAACCCCCAAGGUGAUAGUAUUAGGAGGUGGGGCCUUUGGGAGGUAAUUAAGUCAUGAGGGUGAAGCCCUCAUGAAUGGGAUUAGUACUCUUAGAAAAGGGACCCCAGAGAGGUCUCUUUCCACCAUGUAAGGAUAAAAGUACACGGAGAAGAUGGCAAUCUGCAAACUGGAAAAGGGCCCUCCUCAGAACCUGACCAUCUUGGCACCUUGAUCUCAGACUUCCAUCUUCCAGAACUGUGAGAAAUAAAUUUCUUUUAUAAACACUCAGUCAAUGCUACUUUAUUAUAGCAGCCUGAAUGGAUUAAGACAGGUGGUCUGGUUUAAAGUGAUGUGGUGGCAUCAGAAGUUUAAGGAGAGACUGGAUUUACAGAACCAGAAUCUGGGAUGCUGUUUACAGAGCAAGUUAUUUCCUGCAUUUGGACACUGUCAGCAGGUCGAUUCAGGAGACAGGUGAAAACUUUAUCACCGGGCAGCCUGGAUGAACACCACAACUUUGAUAUCUUUCACUUAAAGGAAAGAUAAGGGCAUCCACUAUUUCUACACCUGGCUGGCAGAGUGAGAGCUCACCAAAGGUAAGUCUCUUUGGAGCAGCAAAAUGCUCCAUAAUUUAACUCUUAAAAUUUUAAAUUUAUUUCCUCCUUACUCCCUUCAAUCCCGUAUCAUAUCUCCAUGUAACUAGUUAAAAGUUCAGCUCUCAGCUGGGUGAGGUGGCAUGUGCCUG